CUUGUUUUGUUCUUGCUGUACUUGGUAGGCAACUGUUUUUUCUUUGAUGCCCCUUUUUCUACAGCCCUAUAGUCUUCAAUCCAGAGCUGAUGAGGCUGUUUCGUUUUGACUGCUAUAGCCCUGUGUACUGCAGAGUUGAGCCCUGCCGUCUAUGCUGUCUUUUGCUUCAUUUUGCUCCUGACCUAAAACCCCCCUGCUAUUCCAGGCCUGGCCUCUCAUGACCAGAGACUGCUGACUCAUCCUGGCCUGUGCCAAGCUGUGCAGUCGCUUAGUGAUGUGGACAGGAGUUGAAGGACUAGAAUGAGAUCACUGAACUCAUUUCACUUGUUGCUUACGGUACAGUCCAGCAUGAGCUGGAAAUGUAGGAACCUCAGCCUCCCGAGCAGAAAGACACUCUGGAACACUGUGAACUCGACAAACUAAUCAGAGCAGGGAGUUUAACGGCCAGGCCUGGACACUCUCAAGAGACUGUGUGCUGAUUCUCAGUCGUCACUCCUUGGAUCAGGAACCACAGUCCUGGAGUUUUCUGUGGAAAAGCAGGAAAAGAGAAGUGGAGGAGGAAGGACUCCCUCCAUACCCUGUGCUAAACCUACCAGGUGUCACUGUUUCAGUGGGAGUCUGGAAAGAAACUGUCAGAGGACACAUCUGAACCUUGCAGUGGCUGGCACUUUUCCUCUACAUUGUGAGAAAAAGAAAAUUAGCUGGAAUAAAACCUUGCUUUCCAUAUGGUGGACUUGA
rnacentral:lncRNA from 1 species